rnacentral:lncRNA from 1 species
GUAGGGCCUGAGAGCUCCCCCUCUUGGCCUCCUGACUCCAAUUUAAUGAGGUUUCUGUUUGUUAAUUUGACAGUGAGGUCCUGCAAGGGCCUGGCAUCCUGGGGUCAGGUAAAGUGCACCAUCCUUUAUCAGCUUUAACUGAGGAGUACCAAUAUCGGUGAAACACAACCUUCAGUCUUGCUAUCUCCUAGGCAAGUGCUGCUGCAAGGGGCACUUUUCCUUUUCACUGGUCUGGAACCAAACCCACAAUAUCUCCAAGGACUGAAGAGGACAAACCUCAUAGACACCAUGUUGAGCAAAAGGAGUGAGACACAAAGGAAUGAUUACUGCAUGACUCCAUUUAGAAGAAGUUCAAAAACUACCCUAUGGAGAUGGAGGUCAGAGCAGUUGUUUCCCUGGGGAAGCUUGCUGUGUGGUAAAGAACUACCCUUACCCGAAGAGGGGUCCGCCCUUAGAUCCUGGGAGGGGAUCUCUAAACUCCUGGAAUUCCCUGCCUCAUAGGAGUGCCUUUGUUUACCUGGGGGCUGGACUGUGCCACACUGGAUAGUCUAACCUUGUGAUUUGUGGAGGGAGCUUUGAGCUGUGCAAUGUCAGAUGGACCUUUCAAGGGACUGGAGGCUAAGGUCCGCCAGGAAGGGGGUCAACCACGUCUACUUGAAGAAGCCCCUGUGAAGACUCUCUGGACACCGCAGCUUGGACGAGCUUCCCUGGUUGGCAGUCCCUUGGUGCUAUUGUCACACGUCGCUGCUGAGAGAAGUUAGCCCUGUCCACGCUUCCAUGGGGAAAGGACAACUGGAAGCUCCGUGCACGGACCUUUCCUGGGCUCUGCCCUAUACAAUCCUCUGGCUGAUUUUAAUCCAUAUCCUUUGGCUGUAAUACACUGUAACCAUGAGUAUAACAACUUUCAGUAAAUUCUGUGAGUCCUUCUAG